rnacentral:rRNA from 1 species
ACUCAAAUGAAUUGACGGGGGCCCGCACAAGCGGUGGAGCAUGUUGUUCAAUUCGACGCAACGCGAAGAACCUUACCUGGGUUAAAUCCGCCUGAAUCCUGCAGAGAUGUGGGAGUGCCCUUCGGGGAGCGGGUGAGAAGGUGCUGCAUGGCUGUCGUCAGCUCGUGUCGUGAGAUGUUGGGUUAAGUCCCGCAACGAGCGCAACCCUUGUCAUUAGUUGGCAUCAGUUCGGCUGGCCACUCUAACGAGACUGCCGGCGUUAAGCCGGAGGAAGGUGGGGAUGACGUCAAGUCCUCAUGGCCCUUAUGCCCAGGGCUACAAACGUGCUACAAUGGCCGGUACAAAGGGUUGCGAACUCGCAAGGGGAAGCCAAUCUCAAAAAACCGGUCUCAGUUCGGAUUGGAGUCUGCAACUCGACUCCAUGAAGUUGGAAUCGCUAGUAAUCGCUGAUCAGCAGGCAGCGGUGAAUACGUUCCCGGGCCUUGUACACACCGCCCGU